rnacentral:rRNA from 1 species
CCAGCAGCCGCGGUAAUUCCAGCUCCAAUAGCGUAUAUUAAAGUUGUUGCAGUUAAAAAGCUCGUAGUUGAAUUUCCGGCUGUUUUCAGCCUGUUUGUAAGGGUGUCGGAUACCGUAAAAAGUUUCUGGCUCACGAACAGACUUUUACUGUGAAAAAAUUAGAGUGCUCAAAGCAGGCUUUUGCUUGAAUAUUUCAGCAUGGAAUAAUAAAAGACGACUUCAGUUAUUUUAUUGGUUAUUGACAGAAGUAAUGAUUAACAGAAACAGUUGGGGGCAUUCGUAUUUGAUAGUCAGAGGUGAAAUUCUUAGAUUUAUCAAAGACGAACUAAUGCGAAAGCAUUUGC